AGACGUCUACAUUAGACUACCCCGUAGUCCCAGACCGUAAACUAUGCGCGUUAGGUGUAUCGGUGACCACGAGUCACCGAGGUGCCGAAGGGAAACCGUGAAACGUGCCGCCUGGGAAGUACGGUCGCAAGGCUGAAACUUAAAGGAAUUGGCGGGGAGCACCACAACGGGUGGAGCCUGCGGUUUAAUUGGACUCAACGCCGGGAAGCUCACCGGAUAAGACAGCGGAAUGAUUGCCGGGCUGAAGACUCUGCAUGACUAGCUG
rnacentral:rRNA from 1 species